GGUAGCCGCUGUUCAAUUACGUAUUACUGGAGGUUCAAUCAUAAGCGACUCCAGAUUCGAACGCCUGGCGGAUCUUGCCACGCUGGAGAAGUCGAACGGCAGCACAGACUUCGGUCUGGUGGCGAGUGGCGAACGGGUGAUAAUAUCGGAACGUGCCUAAUGGCGGGGAUAACGGAGGAAAGCGUAGCUAAUACUGCGCUGCGCCUUCACGAGAAGCCCGAGACCUUCGGGCCUCCUUGCACUGUGGAAGCAACCGAUAUCAGUUGGCUGAUUGGUGGGAGUAACGCUCACCAAAACGGCGAUCCGUAACUGGUUUCCCGGGGAGGACGAUAACCCACACUGGAACUGAACUGGCUGGAAGACUCCUACGGGGAGAACAUAGUGGAGAUUACGGACAAUAGAAAGCAUAGUCAGCCAUCCCCGCGUGCGAUGAAGGCCCUUCAGGUUGUAAAGCACUUUUUGGCAGGAAAAGCAGCGCAGAGAUAAUACCCGAUACAACUGACUGGUACCUGCAGAAUAUUGCCGGCUGACUGCGUUGCCGGUGACCCGCGGUAAUGCGAAGAAGGUGCAAGCGUUAAUCGAAUUGCCGUAAAGCGUGCCUGAGCGGUUCGGAAAGAAGAUGGCGAAAUCCCAGAGCAGCACGGAACUGCAUUUUUUUUUAGCUUCGCCGAAAGGCAAGAAAGAUUCAUUUGUCAGAGGGAGGUGGGAUUCCGCGAUGUAGCAGUGAAGUAACGUAGAUAUGCGGAGAAGGAACACCGAUGGCAGAAGGCAGCCUCCUGGGAUGCUACUGACGCUCAUGCACGGAAAGCGAUAGGAGCAAACGGAUUAGAUACCUGGUAGUCCACGCCCUGGACGAUGUCAACGCUGGCUGUUGGGACGCUGAAAGGGCCUUAUUUGUACAGCCCCAACUUCCAGCGUGAAGUUGACCGCCUGGAGGAAAUACGAUUAAAAUAAGAUUGAAACUCAAAGGGUGACCGAGACCCACUUUCAAGCAGUGAAUGAUAUGGAUUAAUUCGAUACAACCUGAAAACCUUUACCACUUGACAUGUCACAGAAUCCAGAGAUUUGAAAUGCUCAUAAAGAACCAGGCACAGAUGCUGCAUGCUUCUCGUCAGCUCGAUGGUGAAUGUUAAAUUGGAAAGUCCACCCAACGAAGCGCAACCCUUGUCAUUGAAUUUGCUACAGAAAGGAGCAUACGUAGGGCACACUUGAUGACCAGAGCCGGAGAAGAGUGAAGGGAUGACGUCCAAGUCCUCAUGGCCCUAUGGUGGGGCUUUACACGUCAUACAAUGGUCGGGACAGAGGGGGUCGCCCGGCGCGCGAGGGCCAGUCAGAAACUGAUCGUAGUCGGAUCGCAGUGCAACUCCUGGCCGUGAGUCAGAAUCGCUAGUAAUCGCGAAUCCCAGCAUGUCGCGGUGAAUGCGGUUACCUGGUCUUUAUACACACUGCGCCCGUCACACACCAUGGGAGUAAGGUUUUGCCCGGAAGUAGUUAGCUAAUAACCGUAAGGGCGAUUACCGCAGGAUUCGCAACUGGGGUGGAAAUCACUCUUCGGUAA
rnacentral:rRNA from 1 species